rnacentral:rRNA from 1 species
CUACGGGUUGCACCAGUGGGGAAUAUUGCACAAUGGGGGAAACCCUGAUGCAGCAACGCCGCGUGGAGGAUGACACAUUUCGGUGCGUAAACUCCUUUUAUAUGAGAAGAUAAUGACGGUAUCAUAUGAAUAAGCUCCGGCUAACUCCGUGCCAGCAGCCGCGGUAAUACGGGGGGAGCAAGCGUUACUCGGAAUUACUGGGCGUAAAGCGCAUGUAGGCGGAUAGAAAAGUCAGAAGUGAAAUCCUAUAGCUUAACUAUAGAACUGCUUCUGAAACUCUCUAUCCAGAAUGUGGGAGAGGUAGAUGGAAUUUCUGGUGUAGGGGUAAAAUCCGUAGAGAUCAGAAGGAAUACCGAUUGCGAAGGCGAUCUACUGGAACAAUAUUGACGCUGAGAUGCGAAAGCGUGGGGAGCAAACAGGAUUAGAUACCCCGGUAGUC